rnacentral:rRNA from 1 species
UACGUAGGGGGCAAGCGUUGUCCGGAUUCAUUGGGCGUAAAGAGCGUGUAGGCGGCCAGGUAGGUCGGUUGUGAAAACUGGAGGCUCAACCUUCAGAGGUCGACCGAAACCAUCUGGCUAGAGUCCGGGAGAGGAGAGUGGAAUUCCUGGUGUAGCGGUGAAAUGCGCAGAUAUCAGGAUGAACACCCGUGGCGAAAGCGGCUCUCUGGAACGGUACUGACGCUGAGACGCGAAAGCGUGGGGAGCGAACAGG